ACUGAAACAUUGACCAAUCAAAAACUAAGAUUCUACAAGAAAUAUGAAUAUUCAUAUACGAAAGUAUAAACAUAGAUAAUUCAGUUUUAUGUGAAAUUUAAACCCAAUACUUCAAAAUAUGGUUAGUUUUAUGUCUCUAAAAUGACCCUUAAAACCAGAAUUUUAUUAGUAAAAAAUAAAGGUUUUCCCAAGUUGCCAUGGUAACGCGGUCUGAGAUAUAAAAGCUUAGCAAACACUUCAUUUCAGUGAUCGAGGAUGUAUUUGUUUACGGUAUACGUCUACAUAAAUUAUAACAUUUUUUUCCAGACCAUGGAUGAACUUUCAAAAAGAGACAUUUUAGGCAAGUUUUUACGAUUUCCGGCAAUUUUCUGACACAGGCACAUUGAAGAGGUAAUUUUUACAGAAUUAGAAGAAGACAUCAUGGAUUUUCCUAAUUAUCACGACGGAUAUGCAACUUACUUGUAAACAAAUCAAACAAAGUCUAUGAUACAUUUUCGAUAAUGCAAAAAGAGACAUUCAAGUCUCUGAUUGAGAGCCGCAGAUUGAACAUUCGCACGGCGCAAUGGUAGCGUUUUCGCCGAAUUCGUCGGGGCGAAAACUCCAAGAGAGCCGUACCACUCACCAGUCCCGAACGCUGCGCUGUAUGUUUGAUGAUUUAUCUGGUGCCAUUUCGUGCUUAUAAAUUUGUUUUUUCUACAAUGCCACUAUCUCAUUAAAAUUGUUUGUCAUGAUAACAUUGGAAAUAUUAUCGUUUAAUGGCCCAAAGGAUCGACUGUAAUAAAAGAUACUUUGAAAUAUUGUCAGAGAGUGAUUAGUUAGGUGAUGUUUAUGGUCAGAAUUUAGUCCUGGCUUCGGGUGAACUUACGCGAACGCGGUCACUUGCUCACGGGGCGAGUCGGCCUGGCCCUUUGGUGGAAGGCCGUUAGGCAACGUGCAGUGCAGCUAGAGCAGAGUUGGGGAGUUAUACUAGGUAUAAAAAUACUUUGAAAUAAGUAAUCUGCAAAUAUUUUUGUCUUAUCCCUUUGGAUUACUUAGAUAAGAAAUUCAAAUUCUCAAAGUUUAAAUCACAUUUUAGACAGUGACAACAAAGAGUGGUGCUGUAUGGGGGGGGGGUGGGGUCUUGCAUGCCCCCAAUUCACGAACAAGAAAAAAAAGGAAAAGGUAAGAGAAUCUUGCGAAAUUGUUCAAUUGGAUUUUUGUAACCAAAAGUCAAAAUUAUGCUUAUGUCGCUUGCUUGCAACUAUAUAUUAUAAAUUUUGCCUGAUACGCCAUAUCGUAGUACCCUCAAUUAUUUUCACUUGUUACGCCACUGACAUGACUGAUAUAACAUCUACUAGUUUAUGAUAACAUUAUUUGGUUGCGGGAUCAAAGCAUCAGCUAUAUAGCUAAACAUUUAUACUUUAUGCCUGUUCAACUUCCAAUACAGGUUUAUAGGCCUGUAUUUAUGAGAUGUUAAGAUCUAUAUGGGUGCCUUUAUUAUUUUCAUUUUCAAUUAAAACAAUUAUUAAUUGUGUAUUAAUUUAGUAUUAACCUCGAUGAUACAUUUUAUUGUAUUAAAUCGUACAAUUUCUGUUGUAUUAAGCCCCUUAUUAAGCCCUUUUAAAAACAUGCUCAGUAGCAGACCCCCCCAUAUAUAAAGACAAUAGAAGUGUAUAUAGAAUUAAUUGAACCCCCCCCCCCCCUUAUUGAGGACAAAAUGAAAAAAAAAUACUCAAAAUAAUCGACCGCCCCCCCCCCCCCCUUUGACGAGGCAGCUGUCGGUGGCCUGAUGUCUUCAUUGACUUCUUUUUGCUUGUAAAAAUAAUAUUAAAGAAAUAGGGGCUACUCUAAGUGUCUCCCCUGUGAAAAUUGAUUUGGAUCUGCAAGUGCAUGAGGCUGCGCCCCCUCCAACGUCAUAGCUACCCCAUAUCUUUAGGUUCUAGCUCUCAUAUUUUUCAGCUCCCUGGUUUUUUGGAAGAAAAAAAAACGAGGCGAAAGAAAAGAGUGAAAUAAAUGAAAUACGAUUAAUCAAAAUUUGAGUUGUUUGAAAGAAUUAUACUUAUCAGAGAAACUAAAUUAAAUUCUACAACCAUGAAGAAUAACAGCAAUCUUGAUAAAUUCUGUUUUUUUUUUCAAAAUCAGAACCAAUCAACCUUUUUCUGAUUAUUCUGUCACUUUCCAUAUUUUGGAGAAAAAAAUAAAAGUGUUCAUCGACGCCCUGUACUGCAUGAUGAAACUGUAUCCCCACUCGGCCCUCGUAACCCCCCCCCCCCUCUCUCCCUCUCCCCCUCCCCCUCCCCCACCACAAUGCCCCUUGCUCAUUUCUCUUAUCUCACCUUGACCUUAAUUAAUUAAUCUUAACUAUUUGGCGGUACAGUCAAACGUGACUGGUCGCCAUCAUAGUUUCAUCCCCAACAAACAAGGAACAAACAAUAACAAUUCUGUUUUUCGACCCAACAUCAUUCCUUUCAAUACGCGUAAGGCUAUACGUGGGCAUGCACAAACAACGUGGGUUAACAAAAACUGACCCGCGUUUGGACUAAAAUUGUGAUUAAAAUAAAAAUGUUAUAAAUAUGAAAAAAAUAUGUGUAUAAUGAAGGAUAUCUGAUAAACGGAAAAACAUCAAUCGCUAAUUCAUAAAAAUGCUGGAAAAGAUAUGACAGAGGUUUUUAACAACGGUAAUCAAGGGGAAUUAGUGUAUGGGUGAAUGGCGUUCGAGCUUUAGCCGAGCGUUAGCCGGAGAGGGCGCGGGCCAAAUCUGCCUGAAUCUGGCAAUAUGGCGUCGUCCAUUAAGCUGACGUUAGCCAGCGGCGACUGCACGUACGUGCUCCCGAAGGGAGCUAGAGAGGGAACUCUUUCCGCGCGUUUUUAUUUCCCAUAGGUUUUGUACAUAGCCAACAUGGCUGCCGGCGGACAAUUUGAAGGAUGAUUUUGGAGGGUCAAUGUUUUAUUCAUGAGAAUGACGUCAAAAUACGCAUAAUGCACUUGUAUGAUUGGAUUAAACGCUAAUGUUUUAUUCAUGUACUCAUGCAUUAAACAUUUUUUUCCGUCCCACAAUUCCCUACGAUAUCUGUGCGAAGUGUCGUUCUUUUGGACUCUGCGAAUUUGAAGUUUCUGAAACGAAAUAGCUAGACUAAUUAUCUGUUUAUAGAAUUGAUGUUCGAAAUCAUGGUUUCUGAGUGAACUUCAUUGGAGCGGAAAAUCUUGGAGGGAACAUCAAUACUAUUCUAAUGACAUUCCAUAGGAAUAAAAAUCCAGUGGGACCAAGUUCUUAGCAGUUCACACCUAGUCAGAAGUACAAAAUUGAGAACCAUGCCGAUCAGCAAGUGUUAGUUACAAUCUAAUGAGGAACAGGAUAUCUGAAUGGAAAAAUUGCAAGGUUUCCCACUUCCUAAGCUGUUUAAGUACUGGUAUCACAACAUAAGUGCCAAGAAGAGAUAUGAAACGGUCUCAAAAUUUUUGCUGGUGCCCCCCCGAUGCCGUGACCCACGGUACGCCACUGCAAGUCUUCAUAAAUUAUGUAGGGUUAUUAAGUUGCAUUUAUUGUUAUCUUCAUUUAAAAAAAAUGUGAAAUGGGCUAACACUGCAAUAAUAUAUAAAUAGACUAUAUUUCAAAAAUAGAUUGAAUUCUAAGCACAGUGACAGUAGACAAAUCAAAUUUUGUUAAUGAUUCGCUAAUGUAUUGAUUGGGGAAGGCACUCUUUAGGAUUCUGGCAUUGUGUCCCACCCCCCCCCCCCUUAUGAGGAGUGCUCUCACAUCAGAAGACUAUUUCUUGUCAGCAAAUUUGAAAGGAAUUUACCAAUUUUUUUGAGUGAUAAACUUUUGUGGAAGAAAAUAAACGAAUAUCAAAGGUUUUUAUGCUCUUUUAUGGAAUAUUAACUAUAGGCUCAUCGAGAUCCUUUGAAUGAAAUUUUAACAAACAUUGUACAAUGUAGAAAAAUGUACUUAAUCCUAUUUUUGUACAUUCAUAUACCCACCCCAUACUACCCUUACCCAGUAACAGCCCUUUUUAGCUAUGCAUUGCCUUCAUUUUUUUAAAUACAAUUUAAUGCUUGGUAGAUGCUAAUUAUUAUUUUUAUGUUAAUGUCAAUGUUUUAGAAAAUGGAUUCCUUAAUAAACAUGUUAAUUUUGAAUUGAAUUUUUUGAUCUUGGUAAUUUUCAUUUAUCAAUUAAUUGUGAUGAUGUAUUGCUUCUGAGCUGUUAUGCACAAAUGGCACAAGAUGUUGCAUUGUACUGAAAUGUGAUGAUACCACUGUUACAUGAGAUCAAACAGCAGUCAAUUAAAAUAUUAUUCAAGAAAAAUAAGGAUAAGAGUGGGAAAGAAAGUAAAAUGACAGGAGAUUAUUUGCUUGUAUGCAUAUAGUUAUGUCAGUUUCUGAGAGAGAGACAGACAGAAAGAGAGAGAGAUGGGGGGGGGGGUGAAAGUUCAGUUUGUUUUGAAAGAAGCAAUCAUAAGACCUUACUGUUCAUGACGGGGGGGGGGCAAAUUAUUUCUCCAAAUUUUUUAAACCUGCAUAUAAAAUGUAUUUUUUCUUUCCAAAUGAAAAUUACACCAGAUUCAUUUUCAGUUGAAAAUAAAAAAGAAAUAGCCUACGAUCGGUUUGCUCUCUUGCCUAUUUAAUUUUGAGAACCCCCUCCCCCCUAAAAUAUGGUAUAUACCUAGGUCAUGAUUAUUGAUGUUUGACAUAGAAGUCGCCAUUUAAAAUUAAGUGCUCCGAGGACUGCUAUUCAUAAUAGGACUUAUAUUGGAGACUACAAUUAUGGAAAAGAAUUUGAUUUGUUAUUAUCUUUGUUUAUAUUAUGAAAAGAGGUUCAUUUCGUUUUCUGCAAUAAAAAGAAAAAAGGGCUCCAGAAACUUAAAGAGAUGUCAUCGUAUAUGGCAACAUUUUCUUUGGGAACCUCCUCUGUAAUAUUUUUUAGCAAAGAUCCUGGCCGUUUGCAGCUAAAACAAAGCAAAGAUGCAGUAAUAAUCGUAACAAGCAAUAACAAAUAGAUCAUUAAAAUAGAUGAAUAAUAAAACUCUGAGGAGGAAAAAAACGAAUGAUCUGACAUGAUGUAAUCACUGACAGACACCAUAAACGAUUAUUAAUCAGGUCGCGCAUUAUGCUAAUUAGUGACAAAAUACUAAUUUACAUAUUUUUACGCUAUGCGCGAAGGACGUUCCGUGACCACGCCUUCAUUUCGCUGGUGUACCAAAACAGUGGCGGUGUCCAUAGGCUUGUAUACGAAAAAUGGGAGCAGUGUGCACUUUUGACCCUCCAAAAUUUUCUUCAAUUCUGACCGGAUGCAGAAGCGGAGUUUCACCCCCCUGUGGAAAAUCCCGCUGAGCGCCAACAUUCGUUGAGAUGAUCCCACGUAAUUUACUGUAGGGGCGCGUAACGUGCGCAUCCAUUUUGUCUUAUGACGUCAUCCACAAAGUAGGUCGAAUCGUCGCGAACCGAGGAAGAAUGUAAACAAAAGUUGCCACAUGUUUGCCAAACUACCAAUCAAAAAUGACUAAAACAUGACGUGAAACAAAAACAUACCCCUGAAAUACGUAUUCAUAUUAUUAUUUCGAGGGUAGCAAUCAUUACCAAUCGUAUCUAUUUUUUGAAUUAUACCUUUAUGAUAAAAUACCUUAUUUUGCCAAAAAAUUGUUAAAUAAAAUUUCAAUUUUUAAACCUUCCCAAAAUAUGCGUUUUAGGAAAAACUAUAAUUUUUACUAUUUUUAGCUUUUGCAUAAUAGGGAACGAGGACAUAUACUUCUCAUUCUUCUCAUUUUUGACCAUCCUACAGUUUUUUGAUCAACUACCCAGGUCAAAAAACCAGUUAAGGACCAGUUCAUCCAACUGGCACUGGUACCAGUUGAUUCCAGUUAGCGAACUGGAUUCAAUAUGGAAAUUGGAAUACUGGAAUCAACUGGAUUCCAGUUGAUUCCAAUACUGGAAUCAACUGGAAUCCAGUUGACAAAUUGUAACUGGUACCAGUUGGAAAUACCAGUUGGCAACUGGUCCUAACUGGUACCAGUUAGCAACUGGUACCAGUUGACAACUGGUCCUAACUGGUACCAGUUAGGACCAGUUGGAAACAUGAGUUGUCAACUGGUGCCAGUUAAAACCAGUUGGAAACACCAAUUGUAAACUGGUGCCAGUUAGGACCAGUUGGAAACAUGAGUUGUCAACUGGUGCCAGUUAAAACCAGUUGGAAACACAAAUUGUCAACUGGUGCCAGUUAGGACCAGUUGGAAACAUGAGGUGUCAACUGGUGCCAGUUAAAACCAGUUGGAAACACCAAUUGUCAACUGGUGCCAGUUAGGACCAGUUGGAAACAUGAGUUGUCAACUGGUGCCAGUUAAAACCAGUUGGAAACACCAGUUGUCAACUGGUGCCAGUUAGAACAAGUUGAAAGCACCAGUUAGGACCAGUUGGAAACAUAAAUUGUCAAGUGGUACCAGUUAGAAACACCCUGCAAUGUAUAGCAUAAACAAAAAUGAAUCAUGUGGAUAUGUACAUUCCCGAUCUUUUACUCUUCUCAUAUAAUCACUCCUUCGUUUUCCUUGCGCACACACACAUUAGAAUAUUGGUACCAACACCCCCCCCCCCCCCCCUCUCAGGCGGUUAUUUCAAUUAUAAAUUAUCUUCAAUUAUCUUUACAUUGAAUGUCCACUCCUGUUAUAACAAUGUGCAUGGACAAGUGAAAUAAUUAUCCUUGCACAUAGGACUGAUGAAAUGAAUCAAGGUAAAUUUGUAGCAUUGUAUUGAAACCUUGUUAAUUUCCACAUGCACAAUAUAACAGGAUUGGACUGUAAACUUGCUCUGGUAAAUCAAUCCCUCAGUCUCUUGAAAUCUGUACCAAAAAACAUCAGAGAAUGACAAAAGUCACAAAAAACAUCUAUAUGGUAUUUAAACUAGGAAUUUAAUGAAAGAAAAUUAUGUUACAAACUGUAACAUGCUGUGUAUAAUUCUUGUAUUAUGUGUCAACAAAGAUCAUUAACUUACACAGUAAAUAUGUAGUCAAUCCAAUUUUUACAUGCUAGCUUGGAGACAAAAUUUGAAUAUAAUGCAUCUAAGCAUUUACCUUCAAUAAAUAAUAUGUACUAUUUUUAAAGGAAUGAUAAAGGAGUCUUUUUUUAAUUAUUAUUUAUUGAGAUCUUGGGGCCCUCACUGGCUCUGAAGAGGAAACGUGAAACAGGUACCUUCCUUUCCUGUAGUGGCACUUGAUCUUUGCUGGUAGAUGCGAUGUAUCUGAAGAUUAGAAAAAAAAACCAAUGGAAUGAAAAAUAAUAAGUACAGUGAAUACCGUAAUACAAAAUUUCAGUGGUGUAAAAUUAUAUCUGCACAUAAAGAAAAUACAUGGGAUAGUGAAACUUCUCUAAGUUCCAUAUUUCAAUGAUUCAAUUAUAAAUGAUAGACAGCACAUCAUCAUUUUUAUUACAACAUGUAUAGUAAGUUCACAUGGUCUUGGGAAUACUUCUGAAAUUGACAUCGCAGAGAUGAAAUUGCCUCGACCUUAUACCUAUACAUUUAUUUUAAUAAUAAAGACUUAGACUAUGUAUGUUUGCAUAUAUGUAUCUAGGAGUCUAUGUUGCACAUUAUCUGCUAACAUCUGAUGGGUAUUUCAUGAUCGUCAGUGCCGACUAUUUCAGUGAAAUCAUUGCUUUUGAUUGGCUGAGAAGCACUGGCCUCUGACUGUUACUAUGGUAACUGUCGGAAAAAGACAACUUGUUAAUGCUGACAACUUUCAAAAAGCAGUUCCCAGAACAUGUUUAAAAACGCAAGACAAAGCAAAAAAAAAAAAAAAUGAAAUACAAAAUUUUAUCCGAGGAUUAAAGGGAUGGUCCGGGCCGAAAAUAUUUACAUCUAAAUAAUACUUGAGUAAAAUUCACAGAGCAAAAUGAUGAAAAUUUCAUCAAAAUAGGAUAACAAGAAGUUAUUGAAUUUUAAAGUUUAUCAAUAUUUUGUGAAAACAGUUGUAUGCACUUCGUCAUGAAUAAUCAUUAGGUGGGCUGAUGUCACAUCUCCACUUUCCUUUUUUUAUGUUACUAGAUGAAAUCAUAAAUGUUUGAUUUUUUCAUACAUGUGUAAAUGAUGCGUCUCCAUUGUAAUGAAAUAAGUUGCGUCAAUAACUAAUGCACCUAAUCAGUUGUCAAUCCAAUUGUCAAUAGUUCUUGGUUAAAAAUAUCUUAAUAAACCUAAUCUCAUAUAAUAAAAUACAAAAGGGCAAUUGGGAUAUGACAUCAUCAGCCAACCUAAUGAAUAUUCAUAAAGACAUGCCUAGAACUAUUUCACCGGAAUAAUGCAAAUCUUUAAAAUUCAAAACCUUAAUUAGUUAUCAAAUUUUGAUCAAGUUUUCAGCAUUUUGCUCUGUGAAUUUUACUCUAUUUAUUGAGAUAUGUUUCCAGCCUGGACCAUCCCUUUAAUUCUACUUCUACGGUACCCCCACACAUACUGGUAAGUCAGAGGUAAAAAACAACGAGAACCAAUUUAAUUUCAAAGAUAAAAAAAUACUUCAGCCUCCAGAUUUAAGAAAAAUUCAGGAAAUGUUAUUUUAGUUCAGACUAAUUGUGCACGUUUCAUUUCUGAGGUCAAUCUGAAAUUAUACUUCCAGUUCCAAAUUCACGCCAUUUGGUUAUGCAAAAGCAUGAAUUAAAAUUGAUGGGCAUGGGCCCAUGUCACUGGCUAGCCUAGAGGACUCCAUGAAGAUAAUUUAAUCAUUUUACAUCCUAUAAGGUUGCUCGUACAACUGUGUAAACAAAGAUAGAUUUCCCUCGGAAAUCCACCUUUCCCAUAAUGAUUUUUGGGCAAACAUUAAAUUUUUACAUUUUGUAAGCCUUGAUACUCUAAAUGUGUACAAAGGCUUUAAAAAAAUUUUAUUGUAAAAUGUACAAAUUGGAAAUUUUCUUACAAAAAGGAUCACUUGCUUGCAGAUCUUGUCCUCACUGCCUCUGAAGAGUUCACGUGCGACAGGUACAUUCCUUUCCUCUACUGGCACACAUUCUUUGCUGGUAGAUGCGAUGUAU